UCCCUAGUAACUUAGUUGGUAAAGAAUCUGCCUGCAAUGCAGGAGACCCUGGUUUGACUCCUGGGUCAGGAA
rnacentral:tRNA from 1 species